rnacentral:lncRNA from 1 species
ACUCAAGGAAUCAUUCCUGGGGCUAAAUGUGUUAAUGAAGUCUUAGACUACACUGUCUCAACCCGUCUUCAGUCUCUUGGCUAGAAACAAGUUGCAAGUUCCAAGUUCAGCAAAAUUUUAAGGCUGGCAAUUAUAAGGUAGUCAUGAACUCUACUAUUUCAUUUUGUGGUAAAGAUUUGUAGCUUAGACUGCAUUUUCAAAUUCUAUAUUAGAGCUGUAUAGCUGUAGAAAUUUCUCUGGCUACAAAGUGCGUACAUGCUACAGCUUAUAGAUCAGAGAAAUUGAUCAAGUGUAGCCAGAACUCCUGUCAGUGGAAAGAAACCACUCACUUUAAAGUUCUUUCCAUUUCUACUUACCUGAUCUGUUCUGAAUCUUCUUAUUUACUGUCAAUAUGAAUUGAAUAUUUGAGAGACAAACUGUCAAAGCUGACAGAAUGGAAAUGCUUAUUAAUAAUUGGACUUGGAAAGGUUGAGAUAUGAUUUGAAUAACCUUGGAUGAACUUAUUUACCCUGCCUAUUUUGUAAUUGAAUGUUCAUGAGGUUCUGUAAUCAUCCCCACUGUCCAGGCUAACACACUUGUAUCAUCCUAGAAAGAAAUCCAUACCCAUUAGCAAACAAUUCCCACGUACACCACCAGAUGGCCUGCUUUAGAAUUUGACAGGAUUUAGCACUUUCUGUAGGGUUUAAUGACCUUUCCACACAGAUGUCAUUGCAAUAAUAGACAUAUACUUGGUUCACAAGGACUUAUUGAAUAUCUUCUAGGUGUCAGACAAUGAUACUAAAAAUAGCUCAAUUAAAAAGACUGUAUCAUUGGAGUCAAGUAAAUUGGUAAGUGAAUUUUUAGCAAGGAAAUAAAAUUGCAAUUAAUAGAUAAAUGAAAAUAAUUCAGGAUGGAUAUAUGGGUGUGUUACAUUGACAUAAAGUUGGAAAAAUUGAUUAAAUAUUUUUAUGAAAAUUAAAAUAUUAAACAUAUAUCCAGAUAAUAGAAGAAAGUAUUUAUUACAUUUUAAUUAAAAUGUUUAUUUAAUCUAGUACUGAAUGAUAUAGUUUAUAUUAGACUUAAAUCCAUAAAUUUGGAAGAUAUAGAAAGUCUACUGAUUUGGAAACUGGAAACAUCAGAGACACAUUUAUAAAAAGUUAUCUGAACAUCCAUAAUUUUUUUAAGUUUAACUAUAAUAUUAACUGUGAAAUAUUUCCAGGAUUUCUGAAAUUAUCACCAGUAUCACCUAUUGUCGUCCAGAAAUGGCUGUUAAAACAUUUAUUUUCUAAAAUAAUCUUAAAGUACACGAGUUUGUCAGACAGAUCUAAAAUCAUCUCUAUUUCCACAAGUUUCCUUCCCUGUUACUUUUUUUUUUUUAUUACUUUUGCCCCUCCACUAUUUUUCUACUGUGUGUGAGGAUGAUGCCAAUUUAUAUACAUACUCAAGUCACUUCAAACAAUCUGUAUAGGUUUGCAUAAAGGAAUUAGUACAAUGAAAGUGUAGAGGUGUUGUCAUCGUUUAGCGUUUUUUCACUCUGACAAUGAUUUUUUUCUUUUACUUUUAAUUUCACCUUUCCCUCUUCCUCACCAAUUAUCAUGCCACAUAUUACUGUUCACAGAUAUUUUCAACAUGAGAGAUGUAAUGUCUUCCACUGAAUCAUAUUUUCAAAUUUGUCAUUUCCUCAUUCAGUACUUUGACCUUGAAAAAUCAUUAUAGCGAUAUUUUGUUUGGAUUGAUUCUACAUGGCUGGUCUCUUUUGUAAUAUUUUUUUCAGUUUAAAGUUUAAUAUUUUGGCUGCUGAUGUAGCUCAGCCUAUUUAUAUGAAGUCAUUUUAUGUAGUAGAUUUUAUGAUCUCCAUUAUGGAACACUUAUUUUGAUUUAUAUAUUUACAUUUUAGUUGUGGUUAAUAGCUACUGCAGAAGGAAGCUAAUAGGGACAUCAAUUUCAGGAGAAAGAGUUGCCUGUUAUUAUGCAUGCCAAAACUACAGACAAAGCAAUUAAGAAACCAUGGACCUGUAGAAUGGAGGGGCUUCUGUUAAAUAUGUCAUUUCAAUGGUUAUUACAAAUGGAAGAGAGUGUGUUUAGGAGGUCCCAACCCCUACUGGUUAGUAUCUAAUUAGGUUUCCUUAGGAAAACAAAGGGUCACAUUUAACAUACCAAGUGGAGACAAAUGAUAGAACUGAAAGGUACCUUGCUAAUGAAAUCAGGGAAAAAUACAUUUGAAUUUAUACAGAUUCAAAAAUUCAUGAAGAACAAAAAAAUCCAUAUAAAUGGGGAGAAAAUUCCUUUUGUAGAGGGCAAAAUGAGCAGAGCCACGUGCACACAAAUGCAAGGGUUCUGGAAAUAAUUAACUGAUAUGUAUACUGUUUCUGUGUUAUACUCGUAGCAUUGUCUUCGUGCUGUUUUCAAAGAAAGGAAAAUGGAAAACAUUCCAGGGAGCAUUCAAAGACCAAACUUACCUUUUAUUCCAAUUAUUUCAUGGAGGUUGAGAUUUGGAUUUCAUUCUUACAACAUAUGUUCACCAUAAGUUAAAACACUUGAGAAGACUUGCAAGAGCUGUGUCCACCAGCACACUUCUUCCCAAUGGUUCUGUUGCUCUGCAGCACAGCCUCUUUGGAGACAUGAAUGCUUAGGUUCUAAAAGUCCUUUGUCCUUUCUAAACCCUGUUGAUGAAGAAGGCAAUUUCCUAAUUUUGAGGAUGAGAAAAAAAAGCUGUUGCUCUUCAAACUUAAACAGUUUUUUAAAACAGGCAAUUUAAAUCUGAUGAAAAGUCAACUCUGAAUGUUGAAGUCUCCCUGCAGUUUUGACUUCCAUUAGAAGAUAACUAUCCAACAUUAAUAGAGGCAGAUGAUGAUGUGGGGUGACAUAUGUGCUCUUUUCUUUGAUGCCAGAGUACAUUAUAACAAGUUGUCUAAAUGCAGUGUUCUAGUUUGCAUAGAUAAUAAUACUAUAUGUUUUAUUGAUUGCCUCAAUUAUCUUUAUCAUACGCAGUAAGGAUAAGAAAACC